UUCAGGGCAGUUGUGUACUCUCUCAUGGUUUGCGGCCCAUUUUCUCCACUAGGCUCGGUUGCUAUAAAAUUGGGACGUGGGUAUAAAGCAGUUGCCGAUGGGUAGAAAGCAGUUGCCGAGCAGCCUUAUAUAAUGUAAACCCUUGAAUCAAAAACGCCGUACCUUCAAUCGUGAUUUAUGGGUAAAUAUUGAUUUGAAGUUUUGAAGGAUGAUGAAGAAGAAUCCUUAGGCACGAAAAGAACAUGUGACAACAUUGGGAGGUGUUUUGUAAGCAUUAAGUAUUCAUAUAAAGAUGGUGAAUCUGAAAAUUUUGAUUGCUGUAGUGAUGUUUCUAAUAAUAAUCUUUGUGGUAACUGGUAAGAUGCCCUUUGAUGGCCCUCUCACGAGCUUCCCAAUCGAAAGGUAUAUCCCACACUAUACCAUAUGAAAGUUUGUACCUUUCAAUCUUUAGUUCAUCGGUAUUGAUCAUGUUUAAACUAAAAUGGGGGAUAAUAUGUUUCUUUUUGUUUCUGUCACUUAUGAAUACAACACACAGAACGGGCUAAGGCUACAAGGACUCAUGUUUUAAGUAGUAAAAUUUGAGAAGCACUUUGAAAUCAGCCAAAGUUAAUUCAUUUGUUUAAACUUUUGAAGUUAUGUUUGAUGUGUUGUGUUAUUUUGAUUGAAAAGGUUUAAGUAUGCUAUUCUAUCUGCAGUUUCUUUUUGUGUUUGAAUCUGGUAUUUGGAUUUCGAGGUUAAUUUUUUAUAACAUAAUUAAAAAUUGAUUGAUUUAACAGAUACAGUUUAGUGGUCAUUUUUGUAGAAAAUUCCACUUAGAUUUAUCCACAGAGUUGCUCUCAUGUUCUGAAUCCGGGUUCAUUACGAGUAUUAGAAUUACGUCUACUGUUUACGGGCUCUUUUUUUAAAUGCUAAGUGCAUGUAUUCGGUAGUUGAUGGCUAUUCUGUUUACAUCAAGGGUCUCCCAAUGAAUGCUACACCUGCUUUGUUGGAGAAAGAGUUCUAGAAAUUUGGUCCUAUUACGCCAAAUGGCAUUCAAGUUCGAAACAACAUGGUACAUAUCCAUUUUAUUUUUUUCUAAGCGUUUGAACCGUUUUUUUUUUGUAACUUUGCAGGGAUUUUGUUUUCGAUUUGUUGAAUUUGAGGUGCCUGAUGCAGUUCAAAAGGCGAUUCAGGCGUCGCCAGUCGCAAUCAAUGGAUGCAAUGCUGUUGUUGAGGAAACACGCUCAACAAACACAUAUGCAAUUAGAUUACAUGUGGCAAAUGGAUUAGUUAAUGGGUUGAAAUAUUGAGUAACUUGGAUCAUAGUAGAUAAAAGCAUUCAGAACAUAUUAUUAAAGCAUAUAGGUAUAAUUUUCUUGAAACAGUAGCGCGUGGGAGAUUUCCUAUUUGAAGGGGCGGUGGAUUCAGAAAUGAAGGAAUGAGGGGUCGUGGAAACUUCACUGGCGGUAGAGUGUGCAAACGUGAUUUUGGGGGCAACAGGUGUGGUGGUCGUGGUGGUGAUGGAUAUCAGGGGAAACCGGGGAAUGGGUGUUAAUAAGAAUAUGGCAUCACGGGUUCCAGCCAACGCUCGAAUGAUUGGGGGGGGGGGGUUAAUGACUUUGAUUUGCUCUUAUUGACUUAGUUAGGAUUUUUUUGGCUAUUUGUCCGGUGUGCAGUUUUUUUAGCGUCAUAUUGGGUGCAACACCUAUGGCUGCAUUCCAAAUAUGCUUGCAGGUGUGGCUGACAUCAUCACUUCUUGCUGAUGGGUUGGUAGUUGCUGAACAGGUAGAUGUUUGUUUUGUGUUAUGGUUCAAGUGGCAAACGAUCUACCAGAACCAAAUGGUGUCCAGGAACCUUUAGACCCGCGUAGGACUUGAACGAAGCCUCUGUCAUUAAUCGGUUUCACUUUUUUUUUUAAUCUGUUCUGCUCAAGAUUUUGAAGCGUUCAUCAUGAGUUCGUAAUCCGCCGUUGGAGAAAAACUGCUUGCGAAACACAUCUUAAAGGAAUAUCAUCUGUUGUAUCUCAAAGUCAAGAAUCUUUGUUAAUGGUAGCUGGGUAGGGGAUCCACUGCAGAGCUCUUGGUGAGGACCUCAUGACCUUGAGACAGUUAAGGCUACAAUUUUUUUUUUACUUUGUACAACAAACCCACUCAUUAAAAUCACGAAUAUGUGUUAGCCUACUGGCCUCGCCUAAAUCCCAAAUAUAUUUAGGCAGGUUGAUGCAUUUGGAAAAGACUCAUUUGAGGAAGGAGAGAAAAGAUCUCAAGGAAGUUAACACUCAAGUAGUGGAUCAAAUAGGGUCUGCUCCUUUAUUGUAUAUGGAAAAAUGGACGGGAUGACCCAUUUUGGUAAAGGGUUCAGGCCAAAAUGACUCAGAAUGUGUUGUAAUAGUAAAACGCAACAAAUACAGAAGUCAUGCGAGAAUGUUUUUGUCCCGGAUAUAUGCAAGUGGAUCCCGAAAAAAUUAAUGUAUUCAUUUGGCGGGCGGAGAUGAAUAGAAUUGCAACCACAGAUGCAUUGUUUAAGCGAAAUAUUGAUGUUGGUAGCUUGGCUUGUGAGCUGUGUGGAGAAGGUAACGAGUCUGUGGAGCAUUUGUUUACUUCGUGCUACUUCGCUUCUAUGCUUUGGUCUUGGUUAGGGAGGUGGUGCAAGUGCCAGCCGCUGGUGGUGUUCACCUUUAGGGACCUCCUGGACAUUCAUAAACACGUGGGUCUUGUCGGAAUGAAAAUGGAAGUCAUUAAAGGUCUGGUCAGAAUCGGGUGCUGGGCGAUAUGGAAAAUGAGGAACGAAGCAAGAUUCAAGAACAAAGAGGUGAAGCUCGAGUACAUUUGCGGCAAAGUGAAGAAUCUGGGUUUUUUAUGGUUCAAAACUAGGAAUAAAGGUAUUGAAACUUCUUGGAAUGAUUGGUGUAAAUUUGUAAAUAUUUAACGGUUGUAGUUAUUUGGGUUGCA